CUGCAAAGGAAUUAAAGGACUUAAAGUUCUGUCAAUACACAUUAUCAGUCAGAGGUACUGGAGCUGGACCACCUCCGGUUUUGGAUGAUUCUUUUCUGACAUCCAUGGCUCUUCUUUUCACCUGAGAUCUGUAAAUUAAUCAUGUGAAAAUUAGUUAUUUCCUGACAUAUCCAAUUCACAUUGUAAAUAAAAAGCUUAUUUUUAUGUUUUCAAAUACUA